rnacentral:rRNA from 1 species
ACGGGAGGCAGCAGUAGGGAAUAUUGCACAAUGGGGGAAACCCUGAUGCAGCGACGCCGCGUGAGCGAUGAAGUAUUUCGGUAUGUAAAGCUCUAUCAGCAGGGAAGAUAAUGACGGUACCUGACUAAGAAGCCCCGGCUAACUACGUGCCAGCAGCCGCGGUAAUACGUAGGGGGCAAGCGUUAUCCGGAUUUACUGGGUGUAAAGGGAGUGUAGAUGGCAUGGCAAGUCAGAUGUGAAAGCUCGGGGCUCAACCCCGGAACUGCAUUUGAAACUGUCAAGCUGGAGUGCAGGAGAGGAAAGUGGAAUUCCUAGUGUAGCGGUGAAAUGCGUAGAUAUUAGGAGGAACACCAGUGGCGAAGGCGGCUUACUGGACGAUAACUGACGUUGAGGCUCGAAAGCGUGGGGAGCAAACAGGAUUAGAUACCCUGGUA